UCAGGUAUUUGAUACAAUAAUGGAAAGCUAUCAUAUAUGGUGAUCAACAUUAUCUGAAAGACCAGAAAUUCAUCAUUUGUUUUUUUCUACACUGAAGAUCCAGCUUUGUGAAAAUUUCCCAGAAUGGAGGCAGGGAUGCAGAAGGAUAGAGUUACAAGAUGUGAGGAGAGGAAAUCAACACAGAAGAAACGACAAAACAUUAUGCAGAUUCAUGGACAGAAGACCAUGAAUAUUCCAGGCAGAUCUACUUAUCCAACACCUGUUGAAGCUGAAUGGAGUACACUUUCAAAAAACAGUUUUCCAGCCUGAACACUCACACAUCUA